rnacentral:misc_RNA from 2 species
AACGCACAUUGCGCCCCUUGGUAUUCCGAGGGGCAUGCCUGUUCGAGCGUCAUUUCACCAAUCAAGCCCCGCUUGGUAUUGGGCGUCCAGGCCCGCGAGCCCUCACCGGCGAGCGGGCCCGCCCCAAAGGCAUCGGCGAGGAAGACGACCCCCGGCGUGUUAGAAUCUUUUCACGAAGAUACGUCGAGAGCACCGUCCGUACUCCGCCGCGAGAUGACGGGCCCCGGAAACGGGACCCCGACCACACACAAGGUUGACCUCGGAUCAGGUAGGAAUACCCGCUGAACUUAA